rnacentral:rRNA from 1 species
UACGGAGGGUGCAAGCGUUAAUCGGAAUUACUGGGCGUAAAGCGCACGUAGGUGGUUUGUUAAGCUAGCUGUGAGAUCCCCGGGCUCAACCUGGGCACUGCAGUUAGAACUGGCAAGCUAGAGUAGGGUAGAGGGGUGUGGAAUUCCAGGUGUAGCGGUGAAAUGCGUAGAUAUCUGGAGGAACAUCAGUGGCGAAGGCGACACCCUGGACUCAUACUGACACUGAGGUGCGAAAGCGUGGGGAGCAAACAGG